UACGUAGGCAGCAAGCGUUGUUCGGAGUUACUGGGCGUAAAGAGUGCGUAGGCGGUCCUGUAAGUUUGGUGUGAAAUCUCCCGGCUCAACUGGGAGGGUGCGCCGAAGACUGCAGGGCUUGAGUAUGGGAGAGGUAAGCGGAAUUCCUGGUGUAGCGGUGAAAUGCGUAGAUAUCAGGAGGAACACCGAUGGCGAAGGCAGCUCGCUGGGACGGUACUGACGCUGAGGCGCGAAAGCGUGGGGAGCAAACAGG
rnacentral:rRNA from 1 species